UGUUAACUUUUGUUCGAGCCUGUCUAGAUCUUUUAUCAGUCUAGAAAGAUGUUGGAGAAAAGACAUCAUCCUCUUCUAUAAUCUCCAUCUGUAAUUGGACUAACAACUGGACCAGUGAAUGCAGGUCACACCAUGGUCUCACGAGUGAAAAUGAGUGCUCUGGAUUGAACAGAAAAGGUGAAUCAAAACUCCAACCAUCUGUAUGAGGGUCUGGAAAAAGGAUGCCCCCUGGAGCUGGAAAUGAUGGAUCAGGUGGAUCCACACUUGAACCAUCUGUAUGAUGAUCUGCACCCACUGGAUCUGUAAAUGGUGGUGCAGGUUUCUGAAUUGAUGUCAGAUGCAAAGCAGAAGCUUAUUUUCUUCCAGUUUGGCUUCAUUGUGGAAAAAUGCUGGAAACUAAAAUGCAGACCUUAUUCAAAUCAUCAGCUCAUUAGUAGAGAUCUUCAUGAACUGAACUGAGGCUGUGUCCAAAUGUUCACACUUGUUGUCUUUGCACUAGACUACUUACAUUACCUUUUUUUAGUAUUCUAGUGGGCGUGAAGAUCCCAAGCGUGCAUGUAGAAUUAUUCACCAUAUGGGACACACUUAGCAUUUGUAAAAAUGUCAAUCCAGGUAGUGCCAGCAA